AAGAGCAGUCAGCGUGGAAAUAUCGAUAGAAGAUAAAAAGAGAGGCAACAUUGCGGCGGAAUUUAAGAGGUAGAAGACUAUCAAUAUGAGGAGGAGAGCUGAUGAGACGAAGAGCCUUAGCCUCCACUCUGUCCAGAAGAGCUGUGUGAGUGGAGGCCCCCCCCCACAUGAGAUGCAUACUCCAUACGAGGGCGGACAAGGCCCCUGUAUAUGGACAGCAACUGUGCAGGGGAGAAGAACUGGCGGAGACGGUACAGAACGCCCAGCCUCGAGGAAGCUGAUUUAGUAAGAGAUGAGAUAUGAAGUUUCCAGUUGAGAUUUUGAGUUAAGGAUAGACCGAGGAUGUUUAGUGUUGAGGAAGGUGAUAGCUGGGUGUUGUCAAAGAAUAGGGGAUAGUUGUUUGGAAGAUUGUGUCGAGUGGAUAGGUGGAGAAACUGUGUUUUUGAGGCGUUGAAGGACACCAGGUUCCUCUUGCCCCAAUCGGAAAUAAUAGUAAGGUCUGAGGCUAAGCGUUCUGCAGCCUCCAGCCUUGAGUCGUUAAGUUCCUGUAGGGUGGGUCUUCUAUUAAAAGAAGUUGAGUAAUGCAGAGUGGAAUCAUCGGCGUAGGAAUGGAUAGGACAGUUCGUUUUGGAAAGAAGAUCAUCAAUGAACAACAGAAAGAGAGUGGGAGAUAGGACAGAACCCUGUGGGACACCACUGUUAAUAGGUUUAGGGGAAGAACAGUGACCGUCUACCACAGCAGAAAUAGAACGGUCAGAAAGGAAACUGGAGAUAAAGGUA